rnacentral:rRNA from 1 species
UACGAAGGGGGCUAGCGUUGUUCGGAUUUACUGGGCGUAAAGCGCACGUAGGCGGAUCGUUAAGUCGGGGGUGAAAUCCUGGAGCUCAACUCCAGAACUGCCUUCGAUACUGGCGAUCUCGAGUCCGGAAGAGGUGAGUGGAACUCCUAGUGUAGAGGUGGAAUUCGUAGAUAUUAGGAAGAACACCAGUGGCGAAGGCGGCUCACUGGUCCGGUACUGACGCUCAUGCACGAAAGCGUGGGGAGCAAGCAGG